GGCUACGUAGCUCAGUUGGUUAGAGCACAUCACUCAUAAUGAUGGGGUCCACAGGUUCGAAUCCCGUCGUAGCCACCA
rnacentral:tRNA from 1 species